rnacentral:tRNA from 1 species
UGUAUGUAGCUCAGUGGUAGAGCCAAUUGUGUGGCAAGCACAUGGUCCUGGGUUCAAUUCCCAGUAUGGCAA